rfam:Gossypium raimondii scaffold_1017_contig_2, whole genome shotgun sequence.
GGGUGCGAUCAUACCAGCACUAAUGCACCGGAUCCCAUCAGAACUCCGCAGCUAAGCGUGCUUGAGGGAGAGUAGUACUAGGUUGGGUGACCUCCUGGGAAGUCCUCGUGUUGCACCCC